rnacentral:rRNA from 1 species
GACGAACGCUGGCGGCGUGCUUAACACAUGCAAGUCGAACGAUGAAGGAAAGAAUUGAAGCUUCGGCAGAAAUUCAUUUCGGAUUAGUGGCAGACGGGUGAGUAACGCGUGAGCAACCUACCUCUUACAAAGGGAUAGCCUCGGGAAACCGGGAUUAAUACCAUAUAACAUUGCGACGAAGCAUUUCGAUGCAAUCAAAGCUACGGCGGUAAGAGAUGGGCUCGCGUCCCAUUAACCAGAUGGUGAGGUAACGGCUCACCAUAGUAACGAUGGGUAACCGGCCUGAGAGGGUGAACGGUCACACUGGAACUGAGACACGGUCCAGACUCCUACGGGAGGCAGCAGUGGGGAAUAUUGCACAAUGGAGGGAACUCUGAUGCAGCGACGCCGCGUGAGUGAUGAAGGAAUUCGUUUCGUAAAACUCUGUUCUAUGGGAAGAAAAGGACUGUACCAUAGGAGAAAGCGCCGGCUAAAUACGUG